rnacentral:rRNA from 1 species
CAUGCCGUAAACGUUGGGCGCUAGGUGUGGGGCUCAUUCCACGAGUUCUGUGCCGCAGCUAACGCAUUAAGCGCCCCGCCUGGGGAGUACGGCCGCAAGGCUAAAACUCAAAGGAAUUGA